CACGUAGGGGGCAAGCGUUGUCCGGAUUUAUUGGGCGUAAAGCGCUCGCAGGUGGUCCGAUGCGUCGUGCGUGAAAGACCCCGGCUCAACUGGGGGGUGUCGUGCGAGUACGGUCGGACUGGAGGCCAGUAGGGGGAUGCGGAAUUCCGGGUGGUAGUGGUGGAAUGCGUAGAGGAUCCGGAGGAACACCAGCGGCGAAGGCGGACAUC
rnacentral:rRNA from 1 species